rnacentral:rRNA from 1 species
AUUGAACGCUGGCGGCAGGCCUAACACAUGCAAGUCGAACGAGUGGCGGACGGGUGAGUAAUGUCUGGGAAACUGCCUGAUGGAGGGGGCUAACUACUGGAAACGGUAGCUAAUACCGCAUACCCUCGGAUGUGCCCAGAUGGGAUUAGCUAGUAGGUGGGGGAAAGGCUCACCUAGGCGACGAUCCCUAGAUGGUCUGAGAGGAUGACCAGCCACACGGGAACGUAGACAGGGUCCAGACUCCGAGGGGAGGCAGCAGUGGGGAAUAGUGCACAAGGGGUGCAAGCCUGAUGCAGCCAUGCCGCGUGUAUGAAGAAGGCCUGCGGGUUGUAAAGGACUUUCAGCGGGGAGGCGUUACCCGCAGAAGAAGCACCGGCUAACUCCGGGCCAGCAGCCGCGGUAAUUC